AUUGAACGCUGGCGGCAGGCCUAACACAUGCAAGUCGAACGAGUGGCGGACGGGUGAGUAAUGUCGGGGAAACUGCCUGAUGGAGGGGGAUCACUACUGGAAACGGUAGCUAAUACCGCAUACCAUCAGAUGUGCCCAGAUGGGAUACGCUGGUUGGUGGGGUAACGGCUCACCAAGGCGACGAUCCCUAGCUGGUCUGAGAGGAUGCACAGCCACACUGGAACUGAGACACGGGCCAGACUCCUACGGGAGGCAGCAGUGGGGAAUAUUGCACAAUGGGCGCAAGCCUGAUGCAGCCAUGCCGCGUGUAUGAAGAAGGCCUUCGGGUUGUAAAGUACUUUCAGUGGGGAGGCGUUACCCACAGAAGAAGCACCGGCUAACUCCGUGCCAGCAGCCGCGGUAAUAC
rnacentral:rRNA from 1 species